AAAAAAUGUUCUUGUCCUUCGACAGUGUGUAGGUUAAUUCAAAUUCCCUUCUGAGUUCAGAUAAUCACAUGCCUGUUGAUCCAAGAAGAAACAUAUUAUUCCACUGAUGACUAGGCAUCAUACAUAUACUGAGAGGUCAGUGUAUGUUAACUAAUAGGGUUUACAUUAUAUCAGGAUUCAUUAAAUAUCAUGUUCUGUGCUAAUUAUAUUACAGUUUAUUUAUUCAGCUUGAUCAUCCCUAGGUUACUGGGUAGACUUGAUUCUUUCCAGGUAAGAAAACUAAAGAUUUGUCUUUAAGGCAAAAAAAUCUUUUCAAGGUCACCUAUGGAUAUACAAUAGAGCUCAGUUUUGAUCAGAUUGUUCACCCAUUGUAUUUUGUAUUCCUUCAUAUUGUUAUGAAGUGUAUGCUUUUAAUUUUAUUAAUUGCUAUAAUAUUACCAGGAGAGGAAAGGCACAAAAGAAACCUAGGUUUUGAUUCUUACCCCUGGUUCUUUCUAGCCUUAGAUUACCUCUGCACCAAACAGAAGGACAAUAUUUCUAGUAUCUAGCACUUUGGGUAUAUGUUCAUUAAUAGUAAGUGACAAUUAGUUCACUUAAUGGUAUUUAUUUGGGUCCUAUUUUAUGUCAGCCAGAUUGAUAUCUCAUCAGUAACUGUCAGUGUGGAAAUUUGAAUCCUUUCACCAACAUAUAGGGCAGAUCUACAGGCAGACAAAUCAUCUUACUGUUUUUUUAAAAACCACAGUAAUUCAGCUCUCCCAUUAGCUCCUAAUUGAUGAGAUUAUUAUUUUCUUUCAGUCUUGCUAAAAUGGAAGGUCUGCUAAAACUUCUGUGGAGCUUUAGCCACAGCUGCAAGACACAGACAAAUUGCAGCUAGUGGGGACACUUUAAGAUACAACAUCUGUCAAACAGCACACUGAAGAUAAAGGAAAAAUAAUUAUGUUGUCUGAUUAUAACAAGCACCUGUCAGUUAUAGUUUGAAUGAAUGGUGGGUGGCUUAGUAAAUUUUGGCUAUAUUUGUUUGAUUAUAGUCAGCAUUUCCCUUUCACGUACAUUCUCAUAAUUUUACAUAGAAAAUUGAUGGGAUCUAGAGUGUGAGCCAGUUUCCUUGGCAACAGUUACUUUGGUGACCACUUAGCUUUUGUUGGAAUCUACAGAAAAUCAUGGAAAUGAAAGGUAUCUGUGGCGAUACUAUAAUGAAGUCAGUUACUCUCCAGUUACUAGAAAGUCAGUGACUGUCAAAACAAUGUUCCUGAGCACAAGCACAAGCUGGGAGAGUUUCCCCUCUUGUGUAAAUGGCCUCCUAACACACAGAUGUGACAGGCAGCUUUCACAGACAAGCCACCCCAAGUAUACAGAUGAGAGCAGAACAGUGCCUGAAGAAAAACAGUGUGAGCAGGUCGAGAAAAGGUCAGCAUAAAAGGCAAGUAAGCAUCUAGGACAGCUCUUUUAAAAGAAGAUGUAUGUCUCUGUGUUGUGUAUGUUUGAAUUUUCUUCUCUUGAGGUGAUAUCAAGAUUAUACAAAUUUCUAAGUGGGAAUAAUUUUUUUUCAUGAAGGGAAGAAAGGGUAAAGUUGUGUAUAAGUUAAUUUUCUUUCACAGGAAGUUUUUCACAAAAUCCACUGACUUCCAGGAAGGAAAUUCAGGGUCUGUCUUUGGAGCUAGCAUCUUGUUCAGAUUUGAAUAAAGUCUCUGUCAGUUGAUGUAUUAGGUCACUGGUGUCCAGUUUCAGUUCAGACCUUUGACAGUUCAGUACAUACUAAUUGGCUAAAACUCAACUAUCUGGGGCUUUCUGCCUUCUAGCCAGGUCAGGAUACAUCUUUCAAGUCCCUUCAAUUACUUUAGCUCAGCCAAUCAUCUCACAAAACAGCACUACCAGCCUGGGUUUGAGUGUAUUUAAAUACUCAAGUCUGUUAAGCAUCCACAUCACAUCCUGAUACAGUUAAUUUCUUUUAUGAUUGCAUUUGAGCCAAUCACCUGAACAUUUUAUUCUUUCUUACUUCUCAAAUUAUAGAUUUCAUUCAUAUUUUCUUGGAUGAAUAGCAGACAAGUAAAAUACAGAAAGCUAGAUUCAGAAAAGGUGCCAGGUUCGAAUGGAACACCAGGUUAGAUAAGGUUUAAGAGACUUUUUACAGUUUUUAAUAUAAUAAUGAACUUUAUAGUUUAAGUCUCAAAACAAGAGCCCACACUUUUGAUAAACUUUGUAUAUCAGGUUAAACAUUAGCUGAAACAUUUCUUUCUAUAACAUCAACCUUCACUCACUUAUUCCCUUAGCUUUCACAAUCAUCCCAGAUUUUAUGCCAUUUUAGCAUUGUGGCCACAUUUUCUUAUUUCCCUUCAGAGACCAUUACAAUUUCAACAA
rnacentral:sRNA from 1 species